rnacentral:rRNA from 1 species
UACGGAGGGGGCUAGCGUUGUUCGGAAUUACUGGGCGUAAAGCGCACGUAGGCGGCUUUGUAAGUUAGAGGUGAAAGCCCGGAGCUCCACUCCGGAAUUGCCUUUAAGACUGCAUCGCUAGAACGUCGGAGAGGUGAGUGGAAUUCCGAGUGUAGAGGUGAAAUUCGUAGAUAUUCGCAAGAACACCAGUGGCGAAGGCGGCUCACUGGCCCGGUACUGACGCUGAGGUGCGAAAGCGUGGGGAGCAAACAGG